rnacentral:lncRNA from 12 species
CAUCCUUCAGCACCAAGGUGGCACUACUGACUGGGAUAAACUUGCCAUAUGAUAAUGACACAAGGCAACAUGCCUGUAUUGAGUUGGACAGUGUCCACGCUCCCCAAAAUUCGUAUCCUCCCUAGAACCUCAGAAUGUGAUUCUAUUGGACAAUGGAUCAUUGUAGACGUAAUUACCUAAGGUGAAGUCAUAAUGAAGUAGGGUAGGCCCUUGAUCUGACAUGUCUGGUGUCCUUAUAAGAGGAAAAGAGACCCAGGGAUGCAGACACCCACAGAGGAAGACCAAAGAGACGAAGAGAAGACCGUGGAUGACAGAGGCAGAGAUUGGAGCGAUGCAUCUCCGAGCCAAGGAACACCAGGGAUUGCCAGGAACCCCUAGAACCUAGAAGAGUCAAGGAAGGAUAUUUGCCCAGAGCCUUCCGAGAGAUCAUGGCCCUGCCAACAUCUUCAUUUUUUAACUUUGAGCUUCCAGAACAGGAAAAGAAUACAUUUCUGUGCUUUCAAGCCACUACUUUGUUCGUCUACCCCUUGGAACUAAUACAGAGCCUUUAAAAGCGUGCAGGUUCUGAGCAGAGAACUUGACCCCCGUUCCCUUCAAAGUGGCACCAGGCUCCGGCUCCCCAGGGGCCGGGGGGCUCCUCCCCUCUGGCAGCAAGCUUUCCCGACCUGCAGGCCCCAGGGCCCAAGGAGGCGGGGGCCUCCCACCCACCUGCGCAGAUUGAUGAAGAAUGUCUUCUGCAAGGUUCUUCAAAGUCAUGACCUCCCCAGCAGAGCAAUCAGACAUGAUAGUAAUGUAAGAAGUGUGGAGGUCCAGGUUGACCUGAGCAAAGUGAAACAGGAAAUUAAGACCAGGCUAAGAGCCAGAAAGGCCCUGCUGGACAGUGACUAUCUUCUUCGGGUAUGCCUUCCUGUGGUAUUUGUGAAGAGUGCUCUGUGUUGUAGGUCCAGUAUCACCUCCAGACCUCCAACCACCACUAAAUGUAUAUCUAUGGUCACGCUUCAGUAUGUCAUCAACACUUGCUAAUGGGGGACCAAGAGCAGUACUGAGCGUCCAAGAACCCACCUCCCAGAAGGUUACAAGUGGAUAAGCCAUGGCAGGAAGGAGUGGGAAUCACAUCACAAAUACUGGUAGGCUUGGAGAACAAGCAAGAGCCAAUUUUGGUAGUUGUAAAAACCUCAGGUCCCACAUAGACGACUUCUUUUCUGUUGGUUGAGGAUCACCAGACUACAUGACUUCUCCUGUCCCCUCUGGUCUCUAGGCAGUCAGUGAUGUCUUCCCAAACAAUUGGAAGAAGAGACUAAAAGCAGAGCAACAGUCAGGAGGCCAUUUGUGGCUGCAACCCAGAGCAGAGGAGAUGAGGGCCUGAACUAUGCCACCUAAGGGAAAAGAGAAGAGAGGACAGCCUGCAGCUAGGAAGGGGUAGACUUGGGAUUUCACAUCUGGCUGACCAUGGGAUGAGAAUGAAGAUGGAGGAAAAAGAAGGAUCAGAGAUGACUCCCUCCCAGUCCCAGCCCUCUGUUUUCCAGUCAUAUCACUGACAAGGCAAGAGGGCAAGAUGUUGGUAUUGAUUUCUAUCUCCAGUAGAUUAUAUUGCAAGUUCCUAUGGGAAGAUUCUUUUCUCUCUUUUUUUUUUUUAAGAUUUAUUUAUUUAUUUUAGAGAAAGAAAGAGAGAGCAUAUGGGGGAGGGGCAGAAGGAGAGGGAGUAAGAAAAUCCCAAACAGACUCCAUGCUGAGUGCGGAGCCCAACACAGGACUCAAUCCCACAACCCUGAGGUCAUGACCUGAGCUGAAACCAAGAGUUGGGUGCCCAAUCAACUAAGCCAGCCAGGUGCCCCUCCACUGGAAAGAUUCUUAAAGGUGAAAAAGUAAAUAGACCCUUGGCUCAGAAGUGAAGCUGAAAUGGAAAUUUCAAGAUGGGACUCAUACAGACAUCCAGUCUGUGAAUAGGAUCUUGGAGGUCAAUACGUGCCUUGUAAGGCACCACCCUGUGAUGGCAUUCAGAAGU